rnacentral:rRNA from 1 species
AAAUGAAUAGACGGGGGCCCGCACAAGCGGUGGAGCAUGUGGUUUAAUUCGAUGCAACGCGCAGAACCUUACCUGGUCUUGACAUCCUUCUGAAUGCAUGUAGAGAUACGAGCAGGCCCUUCGGGGACAGGAGAGACAGGUGCUGCAUGGCUGUCGUCAGCUCGUGUUGUGAGAUGUUGGGUUAAGUCCCGCAACGAGCGCAACCCUUGCUAUUAGUUGCCAGCAUUAAGUUGGGCACUCUAAUAGGACUGCCCGGGUUAACCGGGAGGAAGGUGGGGAUGACGUCAAGUCCUCAUGGCCUUUAUGACCAGGGCUACACACGUGCUACAAUGGUGAGAACAGAGGGAAGCUAAACAGCAAUGUCAUGCAAAUCUCAAAAAACUCAUCUCAGUUCGGAUUGGAGUCUGCAACUCGACUCCAUGAAGUUGGAAUCGCUAGUAAUCGCGGAUCAGCAUGCCGCGGUGAAUACGUUCCCGGGCCUUGUACACACCGCCCGU